UACGUAGGGGGCAAGCGUUGUCCGGAAUCAUUGGGCGUAAAGAGCGUGUAGGCGGCCAGAUAAGUCCGCUGUGAAAUCUCGAGGCUCAACUUCGAGCUGUCGGUGGAAACUGUCUGGCUAGAGUCCGGAAGAGGCGAGUGGAAUUCCUGGUGUAGCGGUGAAAUGCGCAGAUAUCAGGAGGAACACCAAUGGCGAAGGCAGCUCGCUGGGACGGUACUGACGCUGAGACGCGAAAAGCGUGGGGGAGCAAACAGG
rnacentral:rRNA from 1 species